rnacentral:lncRNA from 1 species
GAGUUAUGGACGUCGUCCUUGUUCUGUUUACAUCAAAUACAAGAGCGAACCAAAGAUUUAUACGUCUUCUAUGCAACGCCGACGUUUCAAAUUUGUCGCGAGAAGUGGCACCUAAUAUCAAUUCAUACAACAGAUAAUACACAACAACGUCGCGUUGCAGUCCCACAAUCUAAAGGUUCCUAGUAUUAUCAGCAUACACAAGACUGUUAAAAUGCACCAACUUUUACGUGCUAUGUACACUCUAUAGGUGGGUUUCACUCAAGACUUAUACAAUAGGGAAACGCUUGUUGGUCAGCUUUACACAUAUUGCCGCCUUGUGGAUAUUGCAUAUAUUUGAUACCAAACACAAUAUCAAUACUUAUGAAUAUUUAACUCGAUCCGAUAACUGUGUUCCCAUUUGGAGUUGACCACCAAGCGCUAAACGUAUCACGUGACUGAAACCCAGCUAUAGACUAAAUGAGCUAACAAUGUAGAAUAACUAACAUGCCUAGCCUGCUGAGCAGAACGAAAUUUGGGGCUGCGAGCGGCUAUACCAUGCCCAGUUGGGGUGGGAAACAGGCGGCUUAAACGUCAGUUUACUUCUUCUGAUGGAUGUGAACGAGUAGAUGAUUACGAAUGUUCUGAGUAUGUGUACCCUCAUCUGAACAUUCAUAACUCAUCCACUGGUUUACAUCCAUUAGAAAAAGAAAAUCUUACCAAAAAUCGUAUAGUGUAGUUUGGUCUUAAAGAUUACGGGAACAACAGCUAGGCAAAGAAGGCAAAGAGUGAACGCUUAAAACAGACAGCAGUUAGGAUCACUUUCACAUAACAAAACAACGCAAAAAUAUAGAACAAAGUGUCGAUUUAUUACUGAUGUACAUAUAUUAAUGCCAUUACAUAUCAUAGUGUGUUAUUAAUAAUCUACUAGGGUUGCACCAGUGUUCAAUGUUAGAGAGGUU